UAACUGUCAGCACAGAAUGAAAUGACGCAACGUAUUUGAAACAUUCAAAUUUUGUAAUUUAUUUCAAUUCAAAAAAUGUUUCAAAAUUAAAUAAUAAAAUGAGAAAGCGUGCAAUUUGUUUUAGGAAACAACAGGGUGGAAUGGUGCCGUUUUUCAAGGUUUCAAUGGAGGAAUCAGAACGAUUAAUGUGGUCCACAUUAUGCCGAACACAACUUAGAGGCCAUGACUUCAUUUGUUGUACCACUUUCCCCGUGAAGAUGUAGUGUUCACAGGUAAUCAAACUAGAUUACUGGCAAAAGCCAUUCCAUUCCCCCAUCUUCGUAUGGCUCCAUUUUAAACGGUAUGUAUAUCGACCGUUAAACGAUGCUCGUCACCUUCUUUGAAAAAAAAAGCAAUUAUAACGCAGAUUAAAGACUGCCAAACGCAAACAGAGUAAGUGUACAUAAGCAAAUCGUGGGUUUUUGAUACUUUAAUUUUCCAUCAACUUGAAGCUUUAUAGUUUUGGAAUCUUUAAGUGAGGAGAAAGUAUUUAAGCUAGAAAAUGAACUCCAGAAAUUGAAGGCGGAAUAUCGGCAGUUAACCAACAAGUUGAAUGAAACGAAUGCGAUAAUGGCCAAUAUAAAAAAAAUAUUCACCGAAGGACAAAUUCUGAAAUUGGCCCUCCCCGAUCAAAACGUGAAUUGGUCACGUGCGGGCAUGCUGCUACAACAACAACAAAAGAGCCUCCUGACUGCAUCAAUCAAUUCUAUGUAACACAUGUCUGAUCUUUAUAAUUAUGAUAAAAUAUGAGUUCUUGCAUUCGACGAGAUGCACUAUGUGCAAGUAGUACUGGCAUGUAGGCUACUAAAGUCAUCACUGAAAUCCGCUAGUUUUCCAGUGGUAGCCGUGGUAUGUGAUAUGAGAUCUACCAACCGAAAGUUGCGGGAGGAAUUAAACGUGACUGUAGGUAUGAUCUAAUGGACAUAAUAUUCAAAAACUUAUACUAUUAAAAGAUAAGCCC